rnacentral:rRNA from 1 species
GAUGAACGCUGGCGGCGUGCCUAACACAUGCAAGUCGAGCGAUCUUCUUCGGAAGAGAGCGGCGGGCGGGUGAGUAACGCGUGGGUAACCUGCCUCAUACACAUGGAUAACAUACCGAAAGGUAUGCUAAUACAAGAUGAUAUAAGAGAUUCGCAUGGAUUUCUUAUCAAAGCUCCGGCGGUAUGAGAUGGACCCGCGUCUGAUUAGCUAGUUGGUAAGGUAACGGCUUACCAAGGCGACGAUCAGUAGCCGACCUGAGAGGGUGAUCGGCCACAUUGGAACUGAGACACGGUCCAAACUCCUACGGGAGGCAGCAGUGGGGAAUAUUGCACAAUGGGCGAAAGCCUGAUGCAGCAACGCCGCGUGGGCGAUGAAGGCCUUCGGGUCGUAAAGCUCUGUCCUCAAGGAAGAUAAUGACGGUACUUGAGGAGGAAGCCCCGGCUAACUACGUGCCAGCAGCCGCCGUAAUAC